rnacentral:rRNA from 1 species
UCUAGCUACAGGCUUAACACAUGCAAGUCGAGGGGCAGCAUGGUCUUAGCUUGCUAAGGCCGAUGGCGACCGGCGCACGGGUGAGUAACACGUAUCCAACCUGCCGUCUACUCUUGGACAGCCUUCUGAAAGGAAGAUUAAUACAAGAUGGCAUCAUGAGUCCGCAUGUUCACAUGAUUAAAGGUAUUCCGGUAGACGAUGGGGAUGCGUUCCAUUAGAUAGUAGGCGGGGUAACGGCCCACCUAGUCUUCGAUGGAUAGGGGUUCUGAGAGGAAGGUCCCCCACAUUGGAACUGAGACACGGUCCAAACUCCUACGGGAGGCAGCAGUGAGGAAUAUUGGUCAAUGGGCGAGAGCCUGAACCAGCCAAGUAGCGUGAAGGAUGACUGCCCUAUGGGUUGUAAACUUCUUUUAUAAAGGAAUAAAGUCGGGUAUGGAUACCCGUUUGCAUGUACUUUAUGAAUAAGGAUCGGCUAACUCCGUGCCAGCAGCCGCGGUAAUACGGAGGAUCCGAGCGUUAUCCGGAUUUAUUGGGUUUAAAGGGAGCGUAGAUGGAUGUUUAAGUCAGUUGUGAAAGUUUGCGGCUCAACCGUAAAAUUGCAGUUGAUACUGGAUAUCUUGAGUGCAGUUGAGGCAGGCGGAAUUCGUGGUGUAGCGGUGAAAUGCUUAGAUAUCACGAAGAACUCCGAUUGCGAAGGCAGCCUGCUAAGCUGCAACUGACAUUGAGGCUCGAAAGUGUGGGUAUCAAACAGGAUUAGAUACCCUGGUAGUCCACACGGUAAACGAUGAAUACUCGCUGUUUGCGAUAUACAGCAAGCGGCCAAGCGAAAGCGUUAAGUAUUCCACCUGGGGAGUACGCCGGCAACGGUGAAACUCAAAGGAAUUGACGGGGGCCCGCACAAGCGGAGGAACAUGUGGUUUAAUUCGAUGAUACGCGAGGAACCUUACCCGGGCUUAAAUUGCAGAUGAAUUACGGUGAAAGCCGUAAGCCGCAAGGCAUCUGUGAAGGUGCUGCAUGGUUGUCGUCAGCUCGUGCCGUGAGGUGUCGGCUUAAGUGCCAUAACGAGCGCAACCCUUGUUGUCAGUUACUAACAGGUUCCGCUGAGGACUCUGACAAGACUGCCAUCGUAAGAUGUGAGGAAGGUGGGGAUGACGUCAAAUCAGCACGGCCCUUACGUCCGGGGCUACACACGUGUUACAAUGGGGGGUACAGAGGGCCGCUACCACGCGAGUGGAUGCCAAUCCCCAAAACCUCUCUCAGUUCGGACUGGAGUCUGCAACCCGACUCCACGAAGCUGGAUUCGCUAGUAAUCGCGCAUCAGCCACGGCGCGGUGAAUACGCUCCCGGGCCUUGUACACACCGCCCGUCAAGCCAUGGGAGCCGGGGGUACCUGAAGUGCGUAACCGCGAGGAGCGCCCUAGGGUAAAACUGGUGACUGGGGC